GAUAGAUGGCUCAGUCAGUAGAGCAGGAGACUCUGAAUACCAGGGUUGUGGGUUCCAGCCCCACGUUGGGCA